rnacentral:rRNA from 1 species
UACAGAGACUGCAAGCGUUAUUCGGAUUCACUGGGCGUAAAGGGUGCGUAGGCGGCCUGACAAGUCUGAUGUGAAAUCCCUGGGCUCAACCCAGGGCCUGCAUCGGAAACUGUCGGGCUUGAGUAUGGGAGAGGUGAGUGGAAUUUCCGGUGUAGCGGUGAAAUGCGUAGAUAUCGGAAGGAACACCUGUGGCGAAAGCGGCUCACUGGACCAUUACUGACGCUGAGGCACGAAAGCUAGGGGAGCAAACAGG